UCCUUGGUGGCUCAGAGGUUAAAGCAUCUGCCUCCAAUGCAGGAGACCCAGAUUCAAUCCCUGGGUCAGGAA
rnacentral:tRNA from 1 species